rnacentral:rRNA from 1 species
UACGUAGGGUGCGAGCGUUAAUCGGAAUUACUGGGCGUAAAGCGUGCGCAGGCGGUUCGCCAAGUCAGGUGUGAAAUCCCCGGGCUUAACCUGGGAAUUGCGCUUGAAACUAGCGGGCUUGAGUGUGGCAGAGGGGGGUGGAAUUCCACGUGUAGCAGUGAAAUGCGUAGAGAUGUGGAGGAACACCGAUGGCGAAGGCAGCCCCCUGGGUCAAGACUGACGCUGAUGCACGAAAGCGUGGGGAGCAAACAGG